rnacentral:rRNA from 1 species
UACAGAGGGUGCAAGCGUUGUUCGGAAUUAUUGGGCGUAAAGGGCGCGUAGGCGGUGCGGUAAGUCUGCGGUGAAAUCUCCCGGCUCAACCGGGGAGGGUGCGCCGAAAACUGGGGGGCUAGAGUGCGGGAGGGGAGAGUGGAAUUCCUGGUGUAGCGGUGAAAUGCGUAGAUAUCAGGAGGAACACCGGUGGCGAAGGCGGUUCUCUGGGCAUGUCCUGACGCUGAGGAGCGAAAGUGUGGGGAGCGAACAGG